rnacentral:rRNA from 1 species
GAUGAACGCUAGCGGCAGGCUUAAUACAUGCAAGUCGAGGGGUAGCAAGAUUGUAGCAAUACAAUUGUUGACGACCGGCAAACGGGUGCGGAACACGUACACAACCUUCCUACAAGUGGGGAAUAGCCCAGAGAAAUUUGGAUUAAUACCCCGUAACAUAGCGAUGUGGCAUCACAUUGCUAUUAUAGCUUCGGCGCUUGUUGAUGGGUGUGCGGCUGAUUAGAUAGUUGGCGGGGUAACGGCCCACCAAGUCUACGAUCAGUAGCUGAUGUGAGAGCAUGAUCAGCCACACGGGCACUGAGACACGGGCCCGACUCCUACGGGAGGCAGCAGUAAGGAAUAUUGGACAAUGGACGCAAGUCUGAUCCAGCCAUGCCGCGUGAAGGAUUAAGGUCCUCUGGAUUGUAAACUUCUUUUAUAAGGGACGAAAAAGGGCCUUUCUAGGUCAACUGACGGUACCAGAUGAAUAAGCACCGGCUAACUCCGUGCCAGCCGCCGCGGUAACAC